AUACUUACCUGGCAGGGGAGAUACCAUGAUCACGAAGGUGGUUUUCCAGGGCGAGGCUUAUCCAUUGCACUCCGGAUGUGCUGACCCCUGCGAUUUCCCCAAAUGUGGGAAACUCGACUGCAUAAUUUGUGGUAGUGGGGGACUGCGUUCGCGCUUUCCCCUG
ensembl:snRNA U1 U1 spliceosomal RNA